CUACACCUGAAGGGGAUGUGAGACUUGGAGAUGUCAAGCGCCAAAUCAUUCUAUGACAAAAGAAGUACAUCAAGUUUCCAGGCUCGGCGCCAAGGCCACCGACCCCGAGGAGUCACCCAAGUCCACCCCCUCCAGUGGUGGUGGUACACCUACACCUCCUUCACAUCAGUCGACGCCGCCCCCAAUCCACCUCCGGCGGGUAAGCCAACGCCGCCGCCCAGUCCACCUCUGGCGGGUAACCCGACGCCACCACGCAGUCCACCUCCGGCGAAGAAGCAGAAAGAGGAGGUUAAGUAGGGCAGCAAGGUAACCCCCUCCUGGAUUAUUAACCCGAAACCUUAUGUACCUAAGACCACAAGGGUACCAACGCCAUCACUGAAGCCUCUUCUCCCGAGACCUUGGGAAGUAAGUGUCGAGGAAAACGAAGCGGCCGUGGCUGCUCACUAUGAGAAAUGGAAGGCGGAAGUCAAGGAGAAAAAAGAGCCUAAGCCCAAGCCGAUAUAUACUGAGAAGUAAAAGAAGUGGGCUAAGGAAUUUUUGACGACACCGUCCCAAUUCCGGGAGAAUCAGCUAGACGACUAUGGACGUGAAUUUCUUAGGCAAGAAUCAUUGCUGAAGGAAAAAGUCUUGACGAUGGAAAAAUACUUGUCGGAGAAGAAACCAACAAGUAAAAAAUGCGGGAAACAAGUUACCUAGCCUGGGGCACAUAAAAAACAAUCGACCCCCCCGCUCAUAGUUUUCGGUAUGUGCUUCAGAGGCGAUAUGGAUAAGGACAUGAAACUACUGGACCCCGUUAUCCUAGCAGCUGCUAGAGCACAUCAAAUGACUGUAACCGCGGCCAAAGAAAGAGCGAUCGAGUUCGGUAUGACUCUUCGUGCAUUGUUAGGCCUUGAGGAUGCGUCAAUAAGUGAGGUAGCAUUUACUUAUGUGCCGAAGGGGCCUCUCAUCGAGCCUGCGCAGGAAGCGAGUCUACCAACACACAUGCGAAAUCUGGUACUCUGGUACAAGGAUUUCAUAAAAAUAAGGCCGAUAAAGAAUAUAUUUAUGCGGAAUUUAGAGAGGAGCAUCACUUGAAAUAUUACUUUAUACAAGUUCAUAUGAGUGAAUUGUUCCAUUUGUUCAAUCUGCGCGAGCUCGAAAAAUCUCUCCUAAGUUGCUACGUUCUAAUGAAGCUUGGGGAAUGCAAAAAAAGAACAUCCAUGAUGUUGGGUUCAUUGACCCACAUAUUAUUAAUGGACAUGUGUUACAAAAUCACCCCCAAGAGGUGGAGAGUGACCUGUACAUGUUUCUUAAAAACCAGGAACUCAAAAGUGACAUUCUAUUUCCUUACCAUUUUGGGUGAGUGUUUCUGUCUUGUACACAUUCUUUUUUCUUUACUCCAUGUUAUGUGUAAUCGAUGAGUUAUGCAUGACUGUGCAUGUAGCGUGUCCGCAUGUUCCAUUGGAUUCUGCUAAUAAUUCAAGUUGACAACUCCAGAGUUGAAAUCA